AUGGCGGGCGCCGAAGGGCUCCCCGCGGACCUCCUCGCGGCGAUCUUCCGCCGGUGCGCCUCGGCGUACGACCGCGCCCGCUUCGCCGCCGUCUGCACGUCGUGGCGUGCCGUCGCGUUGUGGCACCCGAAGCUACCGGCUAUCCCGCUGUUGCUCCCGUCGACCGCCAAUGGCCGGCGCGACCGGAUGACGCGGGCGUACAGCCCGGAGGACGGCAGGGUCCUGCGUUCCCCGCUGCCCGGGUUCCCCAAGUGCAGGCCAGAUCGUGGGGUCCCACGACGGUGGCUGGGUCGCCGCCGCCACCGGCUCCCGGAUCGUGGUCGUGAACCUCUUCGUCCGCGGCCGGGUGCUGCUCUCUCGGGACUUUACAUGUACAUGCUUUGCUAG
rnacentral:rRNA from 1 species